rnacentral:rRNA from 1 species
UACGGAGGGUGCGAGCGUUGUUCGGAAUCACUGGGCGUAAAGGGCGUGUAGGCGGUCCGCUAAGUCUGAUGUGAAAGCCCGGGGCUCACCCCCGGAAGUGCAUUGGAAACUGACGGACUCGAGUCCCGGAGAGGAGAGUGGAAUUCCUGGUGUAGCGGUGAAAUGCGUAGAUAUCAGGAGGAACACCGGUGGCGAAGGCGGCUCUCUGGACGGUGACUGACGCUGAGACGCGAAAGCGUGGGGAGCAAACAGG